AAUGAACUCAGAAGUCAGAGACCCUCGAUUGAUGACCCAAACACAAGAUGGGUAUUUGUCAUCAGGAGCAGCGAGUAUUGUGAGUUCUUUUUUGUGUGAUUAAAAACAUUCUAGUAAGAAUUCUGACCAUGUUUGAUAGUUAAUUGUGCUUUUCUUUAUCUUUGCCUUUUCCCAGCCAUCCUUCAAAAAUCCAAUAAGAUAACGGUCUUCCCCUUCAAGAUGGAUUUGAGUUACGUUCCUCCUGAGUUCUUCAGCGUCGACCCACCACCUCUGCAUCAGAACGUGCUAAUAGAUCAAUGGCUGUGCAGAACCUGCUCUGACUGACUGGAAAAGCAUCCCCAGCACUUUUGGAAGAAUACCCAGAGGCAACAAACCAGCAGCGUAGUCCAGGACAUCCCAGCACCACUGAGCUACACUAAAAGCGCAGAUCAACAAUUGUUACCCAAACUAGUGAUGAGUACCAGAGACAUUUGCAAUUUGCAACCUGAACCAUUCAAGUGCAGUGUAA
rnacentral:lncRNA from 1 species